GACGAACGCUGGCGGCGUGCUUAACACAUGCAAGUCGAACGGUGAAGCGAGUGCUUGCACUCGUGGAUCAGUGGCGAACGGGUGAGUAACACGUGAGAACCUGCCCAUCACUCUGGGAUAAGCACUGGAAACGGUGUCUAAUACUGGAUACGACCAACCCUUGCAUGGGGUGUUGGUGGAAGGAUUUAUCGGUGAUGGAUGGACUCGCGGCCUAUCAGCUUGUUGGCGGGGUAAUGGCCCACCAAGGCGACGACGGGUAGCCGGCCUGGGAGGGUGACCGGCCACACUGGGACUGAGACACGGCCCAGACUCCUACGGGAGGCAGCAGUGGGGAAUAUUGCACAAUGGGCGAAAGCCUGAUGCAGCGACGCCGCGUGAGGGAUGACGGCCUUCGGGUUGUAAACCUCUUUCAGCAGGGAAGAAGCGAAAGUGACGGUACCUGCAGAAGAAGCACCGGCUAACUACGUG
rnacentral:rRNA from 1 species